UACGUAGGCAGCAAACGUUGUUCGGAGUUACUGGGCGAAAGAGUACGUAGCGGUUUGCCAAGUUUGGUGUGAAAUCUCCUGGCUUAACUGGGAGGGUGCGCCGAAUACUGGCGGGCUUGAGUAUUGGAGAGGAAAGCGGAAUUCCUGGUGUAGCGGUGAAAUGCGUAGAUAUCAGGAGGAACACCGGUGGCAAAGGCGGCGACCUGGUCCUAUACUGACACUCAUACACGAAAGCGUGGGGAUCAAACAGG
rnacentral:rRNA from 1 species